rnacentral:lncRNA from 1 species
CUUUUACCCUCAUCUUUAAUGAAAGGUAAAAGACAUUUAUAACCUUUUGAAUAACUUUGACAAAAAAAAAAUAUGGUUAACUAAUCUAAACUUAAAACAUCAACUCUAAACCCUAAAUCAUCAACUUUAAACUCUAAACCAUGAAACAUCAACUCUAAACACUAAAACCGAAACAUCAACUCUAAACCCUAAACCCUAAACC